AACGUAGGAGGCGAGCGUUAUCCGGAUUUACUGGGCGUAAAGCGCGUGUAGGCGGUUUCGUAAGUCGUGCGUGAAAGCUCCCUGGCUUAACCGGGAGAGGUCGUGCGAGACUGCGAAACUGGAGUCAGACAGAGGCAAGUAGAAUUCCGGGUGUAGUGGUGAAAUGCGUAGAUAUCCGGAGGAAUACCAGUGGCGAAAGCGACUUGCUGGGUCUGUACUGACGCUCAGACGCGAAAGCAUGGGGAGCGAACGGG
rnacentral:rRNA from 1 species